rnacentral:rRNA from 1 species
UUACGGCCAUAUCACGUUAAAACACCGGUUCUUGUACGAUCACCGAAGUUAAGCAACGCCGAUCCUGGUCAGUACCUGGAUGAGUGCCCGCUUGGGAAUACCAGAUGCU